rnacentral:piRNA from 1 species
UGAGGUGGUAAAAUGAACAAGCACUACGGUU